GCAUGUGGCCUUUAUGAGGCAUUAUUGCCAUGUUCCUUUAUCAAAUUAGUUCCAAAUUGUUAGACAGAGUGAAAUAUAGUAAGUGCUCAAUAUAGGAAAUCCAACAAGAAUACAAAUUCUUGGCAAUGCUGUGUUGUUAUUUUGCAUGCCAUCUAACAAUGGAUAAUUUGAUAAAACAAGAUUUUGCUUAUAUUAACCCAUUAAGCGCCAGCGCUCUCCCCUUGAUGAGUAAAAUCGUCUGGCGUUAGACAGAGUAAAAUACUAAAGUAGGGA